CACGUAGGGCGCAAGCGUUGUCCGGAAUUAUUGGGCGUAAAGAGCUCGUAGGCGGUCUGUUGCGUCCGCUGUGAAAACCCGGGGCUUAACCCUGGGCUGGCAGUGGAUACGGACAGACUAGAGGUAGGUAGGGGAGAAUGGAAUUCCCGGUGUAGCGGUGAAAUGCGCAGAUAUCGGGAGGAACACCGGUGGCGAAGGCGGUUCUCUGGGCCUUACCUGACGCUGAGGAGCGAAAGCCAGGGGAGCGAACAGGG
rnacentral:rRNA from 1 species